UGGGGAAUAUUGGACAAUGGGCGAAAGCCUGAUCCAGCCAUGCCGCGUGUGUGAAGAAGGUCUUCGGAUUGUAAAGCACUUUAAGUUGGGAGGAAGGGCAUUAACCUAAUACGUUAGUGUUUUGACGUUACCGACAGAAUAAGCACCGGCUAACUCUGUGCCAGCAGCCGCGGUAAUACAGAGGGUGCAAGCGUUAAUCGGAAUUACUGGGCAUAAAGCGCGCGUAGGUGGUUUGUUAAGUUGGAUGUGAAAUCCCCGGGCUCAACCUGGGAACUGCAUUCAAAACUGACUGACUAGAGUAUGGUAGAGGGUGGUGGAAUUUCCUGUGUAGCGGUGAAAUGCGUAGAUAUAGGAAGGAACACCAGUGGCGAAGGCGACCACCUGGACUAAUACUGACACUGAGGUGCGAAAGCGUGGGGAGCAAACA
rnacentral:rRNA from 1 species